rnacentral:rRNA from 1 species
ACGUACCCGUCAGCGUUGCCUCGGCGGGCGGCCCCUCCCUGGGGCCGCUGCCUCCCUCGGGGGGUGCCCGCCGGCGUACCAAAACUCUUUUGUAUUUUAGUGGCCUCUCUGAGAAAACAAGCAAAUAAGUUAAAACUUUCAACAACGGAUCUCUUGGUUCUGGCAUCGAUGAAGAACGCAGCGAAAUGCGAUAAGUAAUGUGAAUUGCAGAAUUCAGUGAAUCAUCGAAUCUUUGAACGCACAUUGCGCCCGCCAGUACUCUGGCGGGCAUGCCUGUUCGAGCGUCAUUUCAACCCUCAAGCCCUGCUUGGUGUUGGGGUCCUACGGCUGCCGUAGGCCCUGAAAGCUAGUGGCGGGCUCGCUAUAACUCCGAGCGUAGUAGUAAAAUAUCUCGCUAGGGAGGUGUCGCGGGUUCCGGCCGUGAAAGCCCAUCUUUUACACAAGGUUGACCUCGGAUCAGGUAGGAAUACCCGCUGAACUUAAGCAUAUCA